rnacentral:rRNA from 1 species
AACGAUGUAUACUCGCGGUUUGCGAUACAAUGUAAGCCGCCAAGCGAAAGCAUUAAGUAUACCACCUGGGGAGUACGCCGGCAACGGUGAAACUCAAAGGAAUUGGACCGGGGGCCCGCACAAGCGGAGGAACAUGUGGUUUAAUUCGAUGAUACGCGAGGAACCUUACCCGGGCUUGAACUAAGAGUGACGAAUCUAGAGAUAGAUUUUUCUUCGGACACUCUUGGAGGUGCUGCAUGGCUGUCGUCAG